GUGCCAACUUUGGCUGUACGUAUACUAAAAUUGGGACGAUACGGAGACCAGCAUGACCCCUGAACAAGAAUGACAUGCAAAUUCAUGAAACGAUCCAUAGGUUU